AGACGUACUGGUAAUAUAUAGGUACAGAACAUUUAUGGCGAGGGCAGUUCUGACUAUCCGUUUUGUAACGUGAACGAAUCGGAAGUUGAAAAAGUCUGAACAUUAAUGAAUAAAUAUCGAGUUGACAGAUGUGGCGGUGGGGAGGGUGGUCAAAUGACCAAACCAAUAUUUAUACCUAAUUUUAUUGAAUUUACAAUUUUAGAUUUCGAGUGUACAAAACAGAAAUGUCUUCAGGUGAAAUCAAUUGGGAAUCCCACCCCAAAUUAAAAUAUUUGUUG